UACGAAGGGGGCUAGCGUUGCUCGGAAUCACUGGGCGUAAAGGGUGCGUAGGCGGGUCUUUAAGUCAGGGGUGAAAUCCUGGAGCUCAACUCCAGAACUGCCUUUGAUACUGAAGAUCUUGAGUUCGGGAGAGGUGAGUGGAACCGCGAGUGUAGAGGUGAAAUUCGUAGAUAUUCGCAAGAACACCAGUGGCGAAGGCGGCUCACUGGCCCGGUACUGACGCUGAGGUGCGAAAGCGUGGGGAGCAAACAGG
rnacentral:rRNA from 1 species